AGGACGAACGCUGGCGGCGUGCUUAACACAUGCAAGUCGAGCGGUAAGGCCUUUCGGGGUACACGAGCGGCGAACGGGUGAGUAACACGUGGGUGAUCUGCCCUGCACUUCGGGAUAAGCCUGGGAAACUGGGUCUAAUACCGGAUAUGACCUCCUAUCGCAUGGUGGGUGGUGGAAAGAUUUAUCGGUGCAGGAUGGGCCCGCGGCCUAUCAGCUUGUUGGUGGGGUAAUGGCCUACCAAGGCGACGACGGGUAGCCGACCUGAGAGGGUGACCGGCACACUGGGACUGAGACACGGCCCAGACUCCUACGGGAGGCAGCAGUGGGAAUAUGCACAAUGGGCGAAAGCCUGAUGCAGCGACGCCGCGUGAGGAUGACGGCCUUAGGGUUGUAAACCUCUUUCAGCGAGGACGAAGCGACAAGUGACCGUACUGACAGAAGAAGACACCGGCUAAACGACGU
rnacentral:rRNA from 1 species